UAUUGGACAAUGGGGGGAACCCUGAUCCAGCGACGCCGCGUGAGUGAAGAAGUAUCUCGGUAUGUAAAGCUCUAUCAGCAGGGAAGAAAGAAAUGACGGUACCUGAGUAAGAAGCCCCGGCUAACUACGUGCCAGCAGCCGCGGUAAUACGUAGGGGGCAAGCGUUAUCCGGAAUUACUGGGUGUAAAGGGAGCGUAGACGGUGAUGUAAGUCUGGAGUGAAAUACCGGGGCCCAACCCCGGGACUGCAUUGGAAACUGCCAGGCUGGAGUGUCGGAGGGGCAGGCGGAAUUCCUAGUGUAGCGGUGAAAUGCGUAGAUAUUAGGAGGAACACCAGUGGCGAAGGCGGCUUACUGGACGGUAACUGACGUUGAGGCUCGAAAGCGUGGGGAGCAAACAGG
rnacentral:rRNA from 1 species